rnacentral:tRNA from 1 species
GAGGGUGUAGCUCAGUGGUAGAGCACAUGCUUAGCAUGAACAAGGUCCUGGGUUCAAUCUCCAGUAUCUCCU